UACAGAGGGGGCAAGCGUUAUUCGGAAUUAUUGGGCGUAAAGGGCUCGUAGGCGGCCACUAAGGCAGACGGGAAAUCCCUCGGCUUAACCGGGGAACUGCGUCUGAUACUGGAUGGCUUGAGGUUGGGAGAGGGAUGCGGAAUUCCAGGUGUAGCGGUGAAAUGCGUAGAUAUCUGGAGGAACACCGGUGGCGAAGGCGGCAUCCUGGACCAAUUCUGACGCUGAGGAGCGAAAGCCAGGGGAGCAAACGGG
rnacentral:rRNA from 1 species